CGCGUAGGCGGGAAUGCAAGUCAGACGUGAAAUCCAGGGGCUUAACCCUUGAACUGCAUUUGAAACUGUAUUUCUUGAGUGUCGGAGAGGUUGACGGAAUUCCUAGUGUAGCGGUGAAAUGCGUAGAUAUUAGGAGGAACACCAGUGGCGAAGGCGGUCAACUGGACGAUAACUGACGCUGAGGCGCGAAAGCGUGGGGAGCAAACA
rnacentral:rRNA from 1 species